UACGUAGGGGGCUAGCGUUGUCCGGAAUCAUUGGGCGUAAAGCGCGCGUAGGCGGCCAGAUAAGUCCGGUGUGAAAGUCACAGGCUCAACCUGUGAAUGCCGCUGGAAACUGUCUGGCUAGAGUCCGGAAGGGGCGAGUGGAAUUCCUGGUGUAGCGGUGAAAUGCGCAGAUAUCAGGAAGAACACCAAUGGCGAAAGCAGCUCUCUGGGACGGUACUGACGCUGAGACGCGAAAGCGUGGGGAGCGAACAGG
rnacentral:rRNA from 1 species